UACAGGUGCCUAAGACUUUUGCACAGUACUGUGUAUAUAUAUAUAUUUUUUGAGUAAAUAUGUUCCUGUUGCUCACAGGUGUAGUAAUGUGUUCCUUUUGCUCGCGGGUGUAGUAAUGUGUUCCUGUUGCUCGCGGGUGUAGUAAUGUGUUCCUGUAGCUCAUGGGUGUUGUAAUGUGUUCCUGUUGCUCCCGGGUGUAGUAAAUGUGUUCCUGUAGCUUGUGGGUGUAGUAAUGUGUUCCUGUAGUUAGCGGGUGUAGUAAUUUGUUCCUAUAGUUCACGCUGUAGUAUUGUGUGCCUGAAGCUUGUGGGUGUAGUAAUGUGUUCCUGUAGUUUGCGGAUGUAGUAAUUUGUUCCUGUAGUUUGCGGGUGUAGUAAUAUGUUCCUGUUGCUCGCAGGUGUAGUAAUGUGUUCCUGUUGCUCGCAGGUGUAGUACAUAUGUUCCUGUAGCUCAUGGGUGUAGUAAUGUGUUCUCGUGGUUGCUCUCAGGGUGUAGUAAUGUGUUCCUGUUGCUCGCGGGUGUAGUAAUGUGUUCUCGUGGUUGCUCUCAGGGUGUAGUAAUGUGUUCCUGUUGCUCGCAGGUGUAGUAAUGUGUUCCUGUUGCUCGCAGGUGUAGUAAUGUGUUCCUGUAGCUCGCGGGUGUAGUAAAUGUGUUCCUGUAGCUCGCGGGUGUAGUAAUGUGUUCUCGUGGUUGCUCUCAGGGUGUAGUAAUGUGUUCCUGUUGCUCGUGGGUGUAGUAAUGUAUUCCUGUUGCUCACGGGUGUAGUAGCUCAUGGGUGUAGUAAUGUGUUCCUGUUGCUCGCGGGUGUUGUAAUGUGUUCCUGCAGCUCGCAGGUGUAGUAAUGUGUUCCUGUAGCUCAUGGGUGUAGUAAUGUGUUCUCGUGGUUGCUCUCAGGGUGUAGUAAUGUGUUCCUGUUGCUCGCAGGUGUAGUAAUGUGUUCCUGUUGCUCUCAGGGUGUAGUAAUGUGUUCCUGUAGUUUGCGGGUGUAGUAAUGUGUUCCUGUAGCUCGCAGGUGUAGUAAUGUGUUCCUGUAGUUUGCGCGUGUAGUAAUGUGUUCCUGUAGCUCAUGGGUGUAGUAAUGUGUUCUCGUGGUUGCUCUCAGGGUGUAGUAAUGUGUUCCUGUUGCUCGUGGGUGUAGUAAUGUGUUCUCAUGGUUGCUCUCAGGGUGUAGUAAUGUGUUCCUGUAGCUCGUGGGUGUAGUAAUGUGUUCCUGUAGCUCAUGGGUGUAGUAAUGUGUUCUCGUGGUUGCUCUCAGGGUGUAGUAAUAUGUUCCUGUUGCUCGUGGGUGUAGUAAUGUGUUCCUGUAGCUCACGGGUGUAGUAAUGUGUUCCUGUUGCUCGUGGGUGUAGUAAUGUGUUCUCGUGGUUGCUCUCAGGGUGUAGUAAUGUGUUCCUGUAGCUCGUGGGUGUAGUAAUGUGUUCCUGUAGCUCAUGGGUGUAGUAAUGUGUUCUUGUGGUUGCUCUCAGGGUGUAGUAAUGUGUUCCUGUUGCUCGUGGGUGUAGUAAUGUGUUCUCGUGGUUGCUCUCAGGGUGUAGUAAUGUGUUCCUGUAGCUCGUGGGUGUAGUAAUGUGUUCCUGUAGCUCAUGGGUGUAGUAAUGUGUUCUCGUGGUUGCUCUCAGGGUGUAGUAAUAUGUUCCUGUUGCUCGUGGGUGUAGUAAUGUGUUCCUGUAGCUCACGGGUGUAGUAAUGUGUUCCUGUUGCUCGUGGGUGUAGUAAUGUGUUCUCGUGGUUGC